rnacentral:lncRNA from 1 species
GGGGUAUUAGCAUUGGAAGAUUGAAAAUACAGUAACCCAACAUCAACAUAAGUAGAAUGUAAGUUUUCUACAGUACCUAAGGAAGUGGUGAUUUGCUUUCUUAUACUAAUGAUAUCACGAGUUUCUGUUUGAGUUUCGUGUUGUGAAGUUUUCAAGUUUUGGGUGAAGUCCUUAUGGACAAAGAGAUCAAGAGUGGCAAGAGCUCAAUCUUGGGGAUGCCCAAGGCACCCCAAUUUGAUUCAAGGAUGCCGAAAAAGCCUAAGCUUGGGGAUGCCCCGGGAAGGCAUCCCCUCUUUCGUCUUCAAUCCAUCGGUAACGUUCUUGGGGCUAUAUUUUUAUUCACCACAUGUUAUGUGUUUUGCUUGGAGCGUCUUGUAUC